rnacentral:rRNA from 1 species
UACGAGAGGCGCAAACGUUAUUCGGAAUUACUGGGCUUAAAGAGUUCGUAGGCGGCGCAGAAAGUAGGGUGUGAAAGCCCUCGGCUCAACCGAGGAAUUGCGCUCUAAACUACUGUGCUUGAGGAACCUAGAGGUGAGCAGAACUGAUGGUGGAGCGGUGAAAUGCGUUGAUAUCAUCAGGAAUACCGGAGGCGAAGGCGGCUCACUGGGGGUUUUCUGACGCUGAGGAACGAAAGCCAGGGGAGCAAACGGG